rnacentral:rRNA from 1 species
AUUGAACGCUGGCGGCAUGCUUUACACAUGCAAGUCGAACGGUAACAGGUUAAGCUGACGAGUGGCGAACGGGUGAGUAAUGCAUCGGAACGUGCCCGAUCGUGGGGAUAACGCAGCGAAAGCUGCGCUAAUACCGCAUACGAUCUGAGGAUGAAAGCGGGGGACCGUAAGGCCUCGCGCGAUCGGAGCGGCCGAUGUCAGAUUAGGUAGUUGGUGGGGUAAAGGCCCACCAAGCCGACGAUCUGUAGCUGGUCUGAGAGGACGACCAGCCACACGGGGACUGAGACAGGGCCCAGACUCCUAGAGGAGGCAGCAGUGGGGAAUUUUGGACAAUGGGCGAGAGCCUGAUCCAGCAAUGCCGCGUGCAGGAAGAAGGCCUUCGGGUUGUAAACUGCUUUUGUACGGGGCGAAAAGGUCCUUUCUAAUACAAGGGGCUCAUGACGGUACCGUAAGAAUAAGCACCGGCUAACUACGUGCCAGCAGCCGCCGUAA